CCUCGGGUUGCUGCAGUGAGGAAUAUUGCACAAUGGGGGGAACCCUGAUGCAGCAACGCCGCGUGGAGGAUGACGCAUUUCGGUGUGUAAACUCCUUUUAUAUGUCAAGAAAAUGACGGUAGCAUAUGAAUAAGCACCGGCUAACUCCGUGCCAGCAGCCGCGGGAAUACGGAGGGUGCAAGCGUUACUCGGAAUCACUGGGCGUAAAGGACGCGUAGGCGGGUUGGAAAGUCAGGUGUGAAAUCCUACAGCUUAACUGUAGAACUGCACUUGAAACUUCUAAUCUAGAGUAUGGGAGGGGGAGAUGGGAUUAGUGGUGUAGGGGUAAAAUCCGUAGAUAUCACUAGGAAUACCUAAAGCGAAGGCGAUCUCCUGGAACAUUACUGACGCUAAGGCGUGAAAGCGUGGGGAGCAAACAGGAUUAGAUACCCGUGUAGUC
rnacentral:rRNA from 1 species